AUGGCUUGGCACUACGAAAAGAAUGGAGUUUUCUCAGUAAAAAGUGCAUAUAAGUUGGUUGCUUCCAUCCAAGGCCAUGUACUCCAGGAACCAUCUGGCUGGUCAAGCGAAGCUCAAGACAGGAGUAUCUGGAACAUCAUUUGGAAGUCCAGGGUCCCUCAAAAAAUCAGAAUUCUUGGGUGGAGAAUUGCCACAAAAUCCCUAGCUACAAAAAAUAAUAAAUUCAGAUGGACACAUGAAUUGGACGCAAUUUGCAAUAUCUGCGGCUCUGGAGAAGAAGACGAGUUCCAUGUCGUAGUUGAAUGCACUAAAAGCAGAGCUUUAAGAGAGGCAAUGAGAGAAGAAUGGGACCUCCCACCUGAAAUAGCUUUCCCGCGCACUGGCCCGGAUCGGCUACACAUGCUUCUCUGUCAGGAAACCGACGAUAUGAGGGGGAGACUUCUUAUGUUAUUCUGGAGAUGUUGGCAUAUUUGAGAUGAUUGUGUGCAUGGGAAAGGUAAAGAAUCCACCAGACAAUCUGUACUGUUUUUAUUGCAGUACAAGGAAGACCUGAGAAAUGCUACUCUGAACAAUUCCCCGGAGUCGGGUAAAGAGGUGUGGUCGCUGACCAAUCACAUGUCUAACAUGCCGGAAUGA
rnacentral:rRNA from 1 species